rnacentral:lncRNA from 1 species
GGGUUACAGCUGAGAUUGGACUACUUGUUGGUAUGUCGCGAUAUCAUCUUGUUGACGUGGUAAGAUGACGUUGUGACUCCUCACCGGGGUUAUCGCCGGUUAUAGCGGAAAACAGACGUUUCUCAGGGUUACAUCUGAGAUUGGGCUACUUGUUUGUAUGCCUCACUGUCAUCUGGAUUGAAGCUGAUCGCAUGUUUGACGCAAGCAUUUUCG